UACAGAGGUCUCAAGCGUUGUUCGGAAUCACUGGGCGUAAAGCGUGCGUAGGCUGUUUCGUAAGUCGUGUGUGAAAGGCGCGGGCUCAACCCGCGGACGGCACAUGAUACUGCGAGACUAGAGUAAUGGAGGGGGAACCGGAAUUCUCGGUGUAGCGGUGAAAUGCUUAGAUAUAACUUAGAACUCCGAUAGCGAAGGCAGCUUACCAGACUGCGACUGACGCUGAAGCACGAGAGCGUGGGUAUCGAACAGG
rnacentral:rRNA from 1 species